AUUCCGGUUGAUCCUGCCGGAGGACAUUGCUAUUGGGAUUCGAUUUAGCCAUGCUAGUCGAGCGAGUUCAGACUCGCGGCGAAUAGCUCAGUAACACGUGGCCAAGCUCCCCUUCAGUCAGCGAUACCCUCGGGAAACUGAGGUUAACAGCUGAUACAAAACGCCAGCUGGAAUGCGGCGUUUCAGAAAGACACCGCUGAAGGAUGCGGCUGCGGCCGAUUAGGUAGACGGUGGGGUAACGGCCCACCGUGCCAGUAAUCGGUACGGGUGAUGAGAGUCAGAGCCCGGAGACGGUAUCUGAGACAAGAUACCGGGCCCUACGGGGCGCAGCAGGCGCGAAACCUUUACACUGCACGGAAGUGCGAUAGGGGAAUCCCAAGUGCGAGGGCAUAUUAGCCCUCGCUUUUCUCGACUGUAAGCUGGUCGACGAAUAAGAGCUGGGCAAGACCGGUGCCAGCCGCCGCGUAAUACCGGCAGCUCAAGUGAUGUCCCAUAUUAUUGGGCCUAAAGCGUCCGUAGCUAAGGGC
rnacentral:rRNA from 1 species